rnacentral:misc_RNA from 1 species
CGCACCUUGCACUCUUUGGUAUUCCGAAGAGUAUGUCUGUUUGAGUGUCAUGAAACUCUCAACCCCCUUGUUUUGUAAUGAAGCAGGCGUGGGCUUGGAUUAUGGCUGUCUGCUGGACUCUUUAACUAGAGACCGGCUCGGCUGAAAUACACGAGUAACCCAGUUUGAAUAUUAACGGUUUGACUCGGCGUAAUAGCUUUAUUUCGCUGAGGACGUUUCAUAUCAAGAUAGUGGUGCUUCUAAUGCGUCGUAGCGUCAGCUGCACACCUUUAAGCUUUAGACCUCAAAUCAGUCAGGACUACCCGCUGAACUUAA